rnacentral:rRNA from 1 species
UACGGGGGGAGCAAGCGUUGUUCGGAUUUACUGGGCGUAAAGGGCGCGUAGGCGGCCAGCACAAGUCAGUUGUGAAAUCUCCGAGCUUAACUCGGAAAGGUCAACUGAUACUGUGCGGCUAGAGUGCGGAAGGGGCAACUGGAAUUCUUGGUGUAGCGGUGAAAUGCGUAGAUAUCAAGAGGACCACCUGCGGCGAAGGCGGGUUGCUGGGCCGACACUGACGCUGAGGCGCGAAAGCUAGGGGAGCGAACGGG